UACGGAGGGUGCGAGCGUUUGUCCGGAAUCACUGGGCGUAAAGCGUCUGUAGGUGGUUUAAUAAGUCAACUGUUAAAUCUUGAGGCUCAACCUCAAAAUCGCAGUCGAAACUAUUAGGCUAGAGUAUAGUAGGGGUAAAGGGAAUUUCCAAUGGAGCGGUGAAAUGCGUAGAGAUUGGAAAGAACACCGAUGGCGAAGGCACUUUACUGGGCUAUUACUAACACUCAGAGACGAAAAGCUAGGGUAGCAAAUGGGG
rnacentral:rRNA from 1 species